CACGUAGGGCGCAAGCGUUGUCCGGAAUUAUUGGGCGUAAAGAGCUCGUAGGCGGUCUGUUGCGUCCGCUGUGAAAACUCGGGGCUUAACCCUGGCCUUGCAGUGGAUACGGGCAGACUAGAGGUAGGUAGGGGAGAAUGGAAUUCCCGGUGUAGCGGUGAAAUGCGCAGAUAUCGGGAGGAACACCGGUGGCGAAGGCGGUUCUCUGGGCCUUACCUGACGCUGAGGAGCGAAAGCGUGGGGAGCGAACAGG
rnacentral:rRNA from 1 species